rnacentral:misc_RNA from 1 species
AGUUUCAUGACUACAAUUUUCCACCAUAAAGAUAAGAUCAUUCCAGUUGUGUGACUGCUGGAUAUAGGGGAAAACAAUGUUAAAAAUUUGAAGGAUAUUUUUGCAGAUUCGGAACUUCACUCUCCUCAUAUUGGAUUGUUUGGCAUCAUAUUAUAUUGCAGAUUUGUUUUUCCACAGGUUCCAACAUAUAACGAUGGGAAGGGCCUGAUUCAUGAGCUUGAAAAUGCCGGUAAUUGAAUUUGAAUAGUGGCUAGAAGUAAACUCGAUCCAAUCCAGAGAACAAUGAAGAGUU